CUGCGCAUGUCCAAUAUGGCGUAGUUGACAAUGGCACUUCACACUUGAUUACUUUCGUAUUCUGUUUCUUGUUUUACAUAUUAUUCUUCUCUUGACAUCUUGUACUCUGACAUAGUCACCAGAAGUCAGGAUAAAUAUUGGUUAUUUUUUAACCGACUUCGAAAAGGAGCAGCUUACUCAAUUCGAUAUAGAGCUUCCUGUGAAAACGAAAUUAUGAAAUUGAGCGUCUCUAACCCCGAGCUGAAGAAUCAAAUCAUUUCGAUGUUCUCUUAGAAGGAAUAAGACGCUUGUUCCGUAGAAGUUGAGACUAAUGAUGUAUUCUACUUAGUCUUAAAAUUUAAAAAAGAAAAAGAGUCAAAACGACUGACAAAAUUAUUGUUUCUCAUAUUCCACGUGAUUCGCAAAGAUACGGAAGGGUUGAAAAAUUUUUGUGAAGAAUCACAUAAAAAAGCAUAGAGAAAGAACAUGCUCCUAACAUGUUUUUUGUAUUUAUAACGAGUUCCUCUAGAAAUACUAUUCUAACGCUACGCAAUGUUUAUUUCUGAUUCUUUAACUUUGUCUACAAUAAGAAAUAAAGUAAUAAAUGUAAUAGUAGAAAGAA